rnacentral:tRNA from 1 species
UAACUCAAUUGGUUAGAGCGUUGGUCUUAUGAACCAAAGGUUGCGGGUUUGAGUCCUUU